rnacentral:rRNA from 1 species
GCUUGCUUGUUGGGGUUGUAGGACACUCUAUACGGAGUUACAAAGGACGACAUUAGACGAAUCAUCUGGAAAGAUGAAUCAAAGAAGGUAAUAAUCCUGUAGUCGAAAAUGUUGUCUCUCUUGAGUGGAUCCUGAGUACGACGGAGCACGUGAAAUUCCGUCGGAAUCUGGGAGGACCAUCUCCUAAGGCUAAAUACUCUCUAGUGACCGAUAGUGAACCAGUACCGUGAGGGAAAGGUGAAAAGCACCCCGGAAGGGGAGUGAAAUAGAACCUGAAACCGUGUGCUUACAAGUAGUCAGAGCCCGUUAAUGGGUGAUGGCGUGCCUUUUGUAGAAUGAACCGGCGAGUUACGAUUUGAUGCAAGGUUAAGCAGUAAAUGUGGAGCCGUAGCGAAAGCGAGUCUGAAUAGGGCGUUUAGUAUUUGGUCGUAGACCCGAAACCAGGUGAUCUACCCUUGGUCAGGUUGAAGUUCAGGUAACACUG